UACGUAGGGCGCAAGCGUUAUCCGGAAUUAUUGGGCGUAAAGAGCUCGUAGGCGGUUUGUCGCGUCUGCCGUGAAAGUCCGGGGCUCAACUCCGGAUCUGCGGUGGGUACGGGCAGACUAGAGUGCGGUAGGGGAGAUUGGAAUUCCUGGUGUAGCGGUGGAAUGCGCAGAUAUCAGGAGGAACACCAAUGGCGAAGGCAGCUCUCUGGGACGGUACUGACGCUGAGACGCGAAAGCGUGGGGAGCGAACAGG
rnacentral:rRNA from 1 species